CGUGUAGGCGGCUUAUUAAGCCAGAUGUGAAAGCCCACGGCUUAACCGUGGAACUGCAUUUGAUACUGAUAGGCUUGAGUAUGAGAAGGGGUAGUGGAAUUCCCAGUGUAGCGGUGAAAUGCGUAGAUAUUGGGAAGAACACCAGUAGCGAAGGCGACUACCUGGCUCAUUACUGACGCUAAUGCGCGAAAGCGCGGGGAGCAAACA
rnacentral:rRNA from 1 species